GAUGUGUUAGUGUACUAAUAUGUGUAAGGACCAAGUUAACUCCAUUUUGUUAAAACUAACUUCAUCUUGUCCCUCAGUCUUCAUUUUGCAGCUGCAUACCAAAGGAGUUAGGCAACCUGCUCCCUUCCCCGCCCCCUGCCCUUGCCCCAUGAUCCGUGCCCUUGCACAAUGUCUGCUCUGAGCAAUAACAGCACUCUCCCACACAGCCAAGGACAAGUGCUCAGUCCCCUAGACCCCCCUAUCAACUCACCCCAGCAGCUCGCCUCACCCCCUCCCUUUUAUUUUCCUUUCUGUACCCUUAAAACCUCCCUCCUUUUCGAGAUUGGGGCUUCUCUGCUCUCCUGCUGUGCCAGGACCAGGAAGCCCGGGCUCAGGCUUGUAAAUAAACAACCUCUUGCUUUUGCAUUGGACUUGGUCCCUGGGUGAUUUAUGUGGGGAAUCCCAUGACUUGGGCACAACAUUUGGGGGCUCGUCCGGGAUAACCCCCCAAAAUCACCAAGUACCUGCUCCAGAGUCGGGACGUGUAAUCCCCGGCAGCAUAGAAGACAGGACGCCCCAUGGAUGGGGAACUGGGACGUGGAUUCCCCAGUCCCUGGUCAAGAAGACCAUGGAGAGGCAAUCCUUCUAGUUGAGAGACAAGGUGGGGCACGACCGCCAGACGGGGUUACACCGUCGUCUCACUUUCAGUUUUGCCUGAGAACCCACAAGGGUAGGCUUCUGUCUUCUGGAGGAAUCUUGGGUAUUAUUUGUUUUGUCUGUGUUUUAUUAUAUUUGGAGGGUGACAUGGGACAGAUGCAGACGACCCCCCCCCUCCCUAACUUUGACUCAUUUCCAGGACUUCAAAGACGAAGCCCAAGAGUACGGCUUUAAUGUGUCCAGAGGUAAAUUUGUAUUUUUUUGCAGGAAUGAAUGGCCAGCGUACCACGUCAGAUGGCCACCAGAGGGCACUUUUCAUCUCCCCAUUAUCUUUUAGGUCAAAGAUAUAGUCUAUUGAUCUAGGACAGGACCUGGACCAGAUUCCAUAUAUAACUGCUUGGCAGGACCUCGUGGAGGACCCGCCAUCGUGGUUAAAACCCCUCCUUCCUCCAUCAGGCAAGGAAGUAGCCAAACUCCUAGCCUUGAAGGAGAAAAAGAAGUCCCCUGAACCCACUCCCCUUCCCUGGUCCUCCAAGAAGGAACUGAUCCAGAAGUGCUCUUCCCCCAUCCCUAUCAACCCUCACCUCGGGAGGCACCUGUUCCUCAGAGUCUGCCAGGCAGCGAGGCCACUCCAGCCCCAGGUCCAGAAGGUAGCCACCGGAGCCCACCUCACACCCACCGUAGAGCCCUGCGCAAUCUGACAGCAGACUCCACAAUGUUGCCUCUCCACACGGGGGGCCCCCCUGAUGGAGUGAACCCCCCAAAUCAGCCAUACCACUAUUGGCCCUUUGCCAGAAAUGAUCUCUAUAACUGGAAAAUGCAGAACCCUAAGUUCUCCGAAAAACCUACUGCCUUGAUUGACCUCUUAGAUUCAAUUCUUUUUACCCACCAGCCUACCUGGGAUGAUUGUCACCAACUGUUACAGGUCCUUUUCACCACUGAGGAAUGGAACCGCAUCUUGGCUGAGGCCAGGAAGGCUGCCGAGGAUGCAGAUGGAAGCCCCACCACCAACCAGGCUCUCAUUGAUGCUGCUUUUCCUCUUACUGGCCCCAGUUGGGACUUUAAUACGGGAACAGGUCAGUAAGACUCCAAGUCUACCGCCAGACUCUAACGAGGGGUCUCCGUAAAGCGGCUAGAAAGCCGACUAAUUUGGCCAAGGUAGGAAAUGUACAGCAGGAAAAGACAGAACCCCUGCAGCUUUCUUAGAAAGAAUUGUAGAGGCAUUCCGCAUGCACACACCCCUAGACCCUGAAGCUGAGGAGAACAGAGCAGCAGUUGUCAUGUUCUUUGUUAAUCAGUCAGCUCCAGACAUUAAGUGCAAGCUGCAGAGAAUAGAUAGACUGGGCGAGAAGUCUUUGCAGUACCUCCUAACAGUUGCUGAAAGAGUCUACAACAACUGUGAGACCCCCGAAGAAAAGCAAACGAAGGCGGCUAAAAGACAGACCCAGGAAUUAGCCAGGAUCCUCCUGGCCUCCAUGGCCAUGACCUUGGAUGAAAGAAACAGGCAGCUGCACUGACUGGCGGCAGGAGGUAAGGAGGGCUCCCCAGGCAGGGAAAGGCUCCACCUCCAGAAGGACCAGUGCACCUAUUGUAAGGAACAUGGACACUGGGCCCAGGAGUGCCCCAAGAAACCACCUCCCAGACCUUCAGGCCCCACCUCAGUGCCAGUCUUAGGACUAGCGGGCUCAAAGGGUAGGGGGGUCAGGGCUCACCUCCCCUCCCCAAGCCCCGGGUAACUCUCAGAGUGGAGGGGACCCCAAUUAAUUUCCUGAUAGAUACCGGAGCCCAGCAUUCAGUGCUGACACAGGACCAUGGCCCUAUGGAUGCCAGGAAAUCAUAGGUCCAGGGGGCCACGGGCAUCAAACAAUAUUCAUGGACUACCUGAAGAACCAUGGAUUUAGGUGUGGGCCAGGUAUCCCACAUAUUCAUGGUUAUCCCAGACUGCCCCUACCCUCUUCUUGGGCGAGACCUCCUAACUAAGGUAGGGGCUCAUAUUAUUUUCUUUUUUUUUUUUUUUUGAGACAGAGUCUCACUUUAUCACCCUCAGUAGAGUGCUAUGGCGUCACACAGCUCACAGCAACCUCCAGCUUCUGGGCUUAGGCGAUUCUCUUGCCUCAGCCUCCCAAGUAGCUGGGACUACAGGCGCCCGCCACAACGCCCAGCUAUUUUAUGUUGCAGUUUGGCUGGGGCUGGGUUUGAACCCACCACCCUUGGUAUAUGGGGCCGGCGCCCUACUCACUGGACCACAGGCGCUGCCCUGGGGCUCAUAUCAUUUUCAAAGACGAAGGACCCCGUGUCACAGACCAGUAUGGGAGUCCCAUACAAAUACUCACCCUACAACUUGAAGAUGAGUACAGACUGCACCAGAAACAGCCUGAGGGCCAUCAGCAGAUAGAUGUCACUGUAUGGCUGAAAACCUACCCACUUACCUGGGCUGAGACUGGAGGAGUGGGGCUAGCUGCCCACUGACAACCAGUCAUCAUAGAGCUCAAGCCAAUGGCUGAAUCCAUACGCGUAUGACAGUAUCCCAUGUCUCAAGAGGUCCAGUGGGACAUCAUGCCUCACAUCCAGAGGCUUUUUAAGACCAGGAUACUAGCGCCCUGUCAAUCUGCAUGGAAUACUCCUCUGUUGCCUUUAAAGAAGCCACUGACUAAUGACAUAGACCAGUCCAGGACCUACGAGAAGUCAACAGGUGGGUACUAGACACCCACCCCACCAUCCCAAACCCUUAUACACUAUUAAGUGCUCUCACCCCUGAUCGAGUAUGGUACACUGUUCUUGACUUAAAAGAUGCCUUCUUCAGCCACCCACUGGCCCCCCAGAGCCAGGCAAUGUUCACCUUUGAGUGGAACGAUGAAGAGCAAGGGAUCCAUGGUCAACUUACCUGGACCCGGAUGCCGCAAGGGUUUAAGAACUCCCCCACCAUCUUUGAUGAAGCCCUACACGAGGACCUGAGUGAGUACCAGCAGCAGCACCCUCACCUGACUCUUUUACAGUAUGUAGAUGACAUUCUGAUCGCAGCAGAGACAGAAGCAGAAUGCCACCAAGGCACCCGGGACUUGUUGACUGCAUUAGGAGCUCUGGGGUACUGGGCCUCUGCCAAGAAGACUCAGAUUUGUCAGCAAACUGUGAGUUAUCUUGGGUACAUCCUUAAGGAUGGGCAGCGGUGGCUGUCCCAGGCAAGAAAAGAAACAGUUCUGAAAAUCUGGGCCCCCACCCCACCACACAGUGAGGGGUGCAGGAGUUCCUUGGGUCAGCCGGGUUCUGCCGUCUGUGGAUUCUGGGGUUCACAGAGAUAGCAAAGCCCCUCUAUCAGGCCACCCGGGACAGCCUGCCUUUCCAGUGGAGCGCAGAACAAGAAAGAGCCUUCCAGGCCCUGAAAUGAGCCUUGCUUUAGGCCCCGGCCCUAGGACUCCCAGAUAUUACCAAGCCCUUUCAUCUGUAUGUAGAUGAGCACAAAGGCAUAGCAAAAGGGGUGCUUGCUCAAUCGCUUGGUCCCUGGACCCGGCCAGUCGCCUACCUGUCAAAGAAACUAGACCCUGUAGCUGCAGGCUGGCCCCCAUGCCUACGCGUCCUUGCAGCUACUGCAUUGCUGGUUAAAGACACAGAUAAAUUAACUUUAGGGCAAGAACUGUUAAUCACAACCCCUCACGCAGUUGAGGGAGUCCUCAAACAGCCACCAGAUCGGUGGGUUAGCAAUGCCCAACUCGCCCACUACCAGGGCCUUCUGCUGAACCCUCCACGAAUCCAAUUCCUACCAAAGACCUCUCUCAAUCCGGCAACCCUACUGCCUAAUCCAGACCUAAACGCCCCCCUCCAUGACUGUAUUGACAUCCUAGCCCAGGUUCACAGGUACGCCAGGACCUUACAGACCAGCCCCUCUCUGACGUGGAGGCCACCUGGGUACACAGAUGGGAGCAGCUUCAUACAAGAUGGAUGCAAGUACGUGGGAGUGGUAGUGGUGUCUGAGACCGAGACUGUAUGGGCAGAGCCCCUCCCAGCUGGAAGUUAGCUCAAAAGGCUGAGCUCAUAGCUCUAACACAAGCCAUGACCCUGGGGAAAGGCCUAAGACUUAACAUCUAUACCGAUAGCUGAUAUGCCUUCGCCACUGCCCACAUACAUGGGGCAAUUUACCAGGAGAGAGGACUCCUUAUGGCAGAGGGAAAGACUAUCAAAAAUAAAAAUGAAAUACUCGACCUCCUAAAAGCCUUAUGGCUUCCCCAGAAACUAGCCAUCAUUCAUUGCCCUGGCCAUCAGUGGGGUGACUCCCCUGUAGCCAGAGGCAACCGGCGGGCCGACCAGGUCACCAGGACUAUAGCCACUUCGGCUAUCCAAGAGCUUCCUAUUACUACAUUGCCAGACCCUGGACCCCAACACUUCCACAAUCCCCAGAGUAUACUUCGGAGGACCUAAAAUGGAUAAAGCAGAUCCCACUAGCCCACUCCCCCGAGAAGUACAACGGAUGAUACGUCACCUGUGAUGGCAAAGCGCUUGUGCCAGCAAAACUAGGACAGGAAAUCCUCCAUAGAAUCCAUUUAUCCACCCACCUAGGGUCAUGCAAAAUGAAAGACUUGUUGUGCCACGCCAAAAUCAAAAUACAAAACCAGAAUACUAAAAUUGACGAAGUCGUAGCUUCAUGCAAAGUAUGUAUUGUGACUAACAGUGUAUCUAGCUCCCUCAAUCCAGGGUCCAGAGAGCGUGGGACAGAGCCAGGUACGUACUGGGAAGUGGACUUUACUGAAGUUAAGCCAGGUAAAUAUGGAUAUAAAUAUCUCCUUGUUUUCAUAGAUACAUUCUCAGGAUGAGUAGAAGCAUUUCCGACCAGAAAUGAGACUGCGCACAUAGUAGCAAAGAAAAUACUAGAAGAUAUAAUGCCUAGGCAUGGAAUUCCUAACCAGAUAAGAUCAGAUAAUAGCUCAGCCUUUACUUCUCAGGUAGUGCAGAGUCUAGCGGAAGCCUUGGGGACUAAUUGGAAAUUGCAUUGUGCCUAUCAACCCCAAAGUUCAGGGCAGGUAGAGCAGAUGAACCGCACUCUAAAACAGACCCUGACUAAAUUAAUCAUGGAGACUGGCAGUGACCGGGUGUCUCUCCUCCCCUUUGCCCUGUACAGGGUGCGAAACUCACCCUACCUUUUAGGAAAAACUCCUUAUGAAAUUCUCUUUGGAAGGCAACACCCUAUGGUCCCUAAGUUGCAUUACAAUGCCCUCACUUCAAAGGGCCUGGAUCUUAAAGCUUGGAAAGAUUAUGCAGUAACUUUACAUUUCUAUCAAAAGGCACAACGAGCUGAUUGGAAGAAACUUACAGCCCUCUGCAGCUCAGGACCUGUCCCUGAACCACACGCUUUCUGGCCUGAAGCCUGGAGACUGGGUGUACGUGAAACGUCACCGACCAGAAACACUGGAGCCCCGGUGGAAGGGCUCAUACACUGUGGUCCUCAUUACUCCCACCACACUCAAGGUUGACAGCAUCACCUCCUGGAUACAUCACACACACGCUCACCUAGCUGACCCGUUCACCAUCAAAGAAGACUCCACUCCCCAGUGGAGACUCUGACGGGACUCUGAUAACCCACUGAAGCUCAAACUGCAGAAAUGCCAAGAUCCCUGAUGCCACCAAACAGAGUCUCACUUUACUGCCCUCGGUAGAAUGCCAUGAUGUCACAGGACUCACAGCAACCUCCAGCCUUUGGGCUUCCGCGAUUCUCCUGCCUCAACCUCCCAAGCAGCUGGGACUACAGGCGCCCACCACAACGCCCUGCUGUUUUCUUGUUGCAGUUUGGCCGGGGCUGGGUUUGAACCCGCCACCCUCGGUAUAUGGGGCCGGCGCCCUACUCACUGACCCACAGGCGCCACCCAACCAGGGCUUUUGUGUCUUAGUGCAGCUAAUCCCCAAGCUGGUCUAUCACUCAGAAGAGGACUUAUAUCAGGCAUACGUGUCAGCUGCAGGCACUUCAAGAACCAAGAGAGAACCAGUCACAGCAAUAACUCUAGCCAUGCUCAUGGAACUAAAUAUAGCAGGAGCAGGCACAGGAAUCUCCUCCUUAGUCCUACAAGACAAGAACUAUGGAGCUGUGCACGCUGCAAUAGACUUAGACAUAGAAAGAAUAGAAAACUCCAUUUCCCACCUUCAAGAGGCCCUAACUUCCCUCUCUGAAGUAGUACUCCAAAAUAGGCGGGGACUAGACUUACUGUUCCUUCAGCAAGGUGGACUAUGCGUAGCCCUAGGAGAAUAAUGCUGUUUUUAUACUGACCACUCAGGAGUAAUCAAACAGUCCAUGGAGUUAGUGAGAGAAGGUCUCUGCAAAAGAAAACUGGAGCAGGAACAGUCUCAGAGCUGGUAUGAAUCUUUGUUCAGCAAGUCACCCUGGCUCACAACUUUAAUUUCAACCGUAGCAGGCCCACUUGUAAUCCUAUUACUGCUAUUAACUUUCGGCCCCUGCAUAAUUAAUAAAUUACUGGCUUUCAUCCGAGCUAGAAUUAAUACUGUUCAAUUAAUGGUCUUACAGGCAUAGUAUACCCCCUUCAGCACUGAAUGCACCAGCAAUGGCAUAGAGCUAGGGCUCGUAAAACACACUGAAGACCCAUGAUUGGAUCUUCUAGGCACAAGAAAAGGGGGGAAUGUAAGGACCAAUUUAACUCCAUUUUGUUAAAACUAACUUCAUCUUGUCCCUCAGCCUUCAUUUUGCAGCUGCAUACCAAAGGUGUUAGGCAAACUGCUCCCUCCCCCCCGCCCCCCCUUGCCCCAUGAUCUGCACCCUUGCACAACAUCUGCUCCGAGCGAUAACAACACUCUCCCAGACAGCCAAGCACAAGUGCUCAGUCCCCUAGACCCCACUAUCAACUCGCCCCAGCGGCUCACCUCACCUCCUCCUUUUAUUUCCUUUCUAUCCCCUUAAAAACCUCCCUCCUUUUCGAGAUUGGGGUUUCUCUGCUCUCCUGCUGUGCCAGGACCAGGAAGCCCAGGCUUGAGCUUGUAAAUAAACAACCUCUUGCUUUU